AGCCAAGCGAACAUAGCGACGUUGCUUUUUGAUCCUUCGAUGUCGGCUCUUCCUAUCAUUGUGAAGCAAAAUUCACCAUGUGUUGGAUUGUUCACCCAUCAAUAGGGAACGUGAGCUGGGUUUAGACCGUCGCGAGACAGGUUAGUUUUACCCUACUGAUGAAUAGUAUUGCGACAGUAGACUAAUUUAGUACGAGAGGAACCGUUGGUCCAGAUAAUUGGUAAAUACGGUUAGCUGACCAGCUAAUGCCGUGAAGCUACCAUCUGUUGGAUUAUGACUGAACGCCUCUAAGUCAGAAUCCAUGCUGGAAAGCAAUGCAACAGUCAAUAAUAAACGAAAACAAAAUAGGGAAACCAAAUUACAUCUUCGGAACACAAAGGACAGAGCAAAUCUGCUGGCGGACUCCGAUUCAUAAUUUCGUAUUAUUAUUGUUCCUAAAUCACUUGCAGACGACUUG
rnacentral:rRNA from 1 species